rnacentral:rRNA from 1 species
UAAGACGUAGGGGACGAGCGUUGUCCGGAUUCAUUGGGCGUAAAGCGCGCGCAGGCGGCCCGCUAAGUCGGAUGUGAAAUCCCGUGGCUCAACCGCGGAACUGCAUUCGAAACUGGCGGGCUUGAGGCAGGUAGGGGAGAUCGGAAUUCCUGGUGUAGCGGUGAAAUGCGCAGAUAUCAGGAGGAACACCGGUGGCGAAGGCGGAUCUCUGGGCCUGUCCUGACGCUGAGGCGCGAAAGCUAGGGGAGCGAACAGGAUUAGAUACCCUGGUAGUCCUAGCCGUAAACGUUGGGUGCUAGGUGUGGGCGGUUAUCAACCCCGUCCGUGCCGGAGCUAACGCAUUAAGCACCCCGCCUGGGGAGUACGGCCGCAAGGCUA